AUAAUUUUUCUUUUGGAAAGAAUGUGUAAGUCUGCAUGUGUUAAAUUAAAAAAAAAAAUCUGUUCUUAUCAGUUUAAUAUCUGAUACGUCCUCCAUACGAGGAUUUUUAGAUUAGGGAGCAGGAACAGGGGCUUGCUCCAUCUGCUCCACGCAUCAACCUGGUAUUGCAGUACUUUCAAGAAUGGUGCACUUAUA